GAGCGUAGUCUUGGUUCCAUCUGCCAGGUGAUGCUAUUAGAAGCCAAACAGACACAAUAUCCAUCCUUCUGAUUCAUUAAUGUGACUUUUCCCAAACACAUAAGCAUGGCUGUAUUUGCAAAAGCUGGGAAUACUGAGCACUCUGGACUUGACAUUUCAUUAUUUCCAGUGGCCCUGGCUACGUUCUGUCCUUUGGACUUUGCAUUCGCUCCUGUAUACUCACACCUCCAUAAACAAGGGGAAACCACAAAGUACAAGGGUGAUUGAACCUCUUCAGCUCUAAGUUUGGUGUUCAUACAUUUGGACUGUCAAAACAGCCUCUUAUCAGCUUCCAUGAAAAUGAUUGUGC
rnacentral:lncRNA from 1 species